AGUUCUUCUGGGCGCUUUCUGGUGCUGAGUGGUGAGGAUCUGUGGGUUGGGUUCUGGUGGGGACAGAGUUGAACGUUAGGUGGGGCCAAGGUCGAGGGGUGGUCUCAGACCCAUGACCAACACUUGGUUUCCAGCCCUGGGGUCACCUAUCUGUGGCUGGGCAUCUGAGACUUGACUUUCCUAAGGUAUUUCUCAUGUCCCCUUUGGUAGAAAUGUCACACCCCAAAUAUCACCCACCAGGGCCCACACACAAGGAGAACAGGUGCCUGACCUGGGCCCGAAGGGUUUGUACUUUGUUGUAAAUCCCUAGGCUUCAGGAAGAUGACUGCCUCCCCCAAGCACUUCCUAAGUGCGGGCCACUGGGCUUCAAACCGGAUGGGUUCCUGAGAGGCAGCUGCUCCCGUCCUAGGGAUGCAGGGGCCGAUCUGCAGGGGCUGGAAGUGACUGGCCCAAUUAGCUGCUGUGCUUGUAGCCACUGGGCUGUAAGGCUUCCCUCAGGCUCCAGCCGCCGCAGAGACGCCAGACCCUUACAGGGCAUCUGUGUGGGAGCAUCACCCCUAUUUCAGAUGUGGACAGUAGGAGUGGGAAUUGACUGGGCCCAGAGGCAGUGAUGUACAGAGGGAGCUGGCUUUGAACCCAGGCACGUGCACUUUCGUCAGUGGGUCAUCAUGCUGGGACAGUGACUGACUGUACAAGAGCACAGACAAGGACUAGCAAUUUGGAUCGCUGCAGCUUCCUGGGCCUGGGUGAGGUCUGCACCUGAGGAAGCCGCGACAGCAAGUGCCCUGGGCCGCCAGCCUGGUGGGAAGUAGGGCAGGACGAAAACAGGAACUUGAAGUGGGUCAUGCUCGUUGAACUGGAAACACUGAGUUGAUAUCUGGGUUAUUUCCCCUGACUGUCGCAAAACACACUUAGACAAACCCUGCAUUUAUUCCUUUAGAGUUGGGAAUGGGAAGAGUGUGUGUGUGUGUGUGUGUGUGUUGGGGGGUGAGGGGACUACUGCCCAGGCUCUACCUUUGUGGGAGGAUCCUCCCCUUCCUUCCACCAACCCCACUUGGGAUGUCCCAGGCUGGUGGUGAACUCGUUGGGCAGGUCAGUACUGUGUUUAUAAAGCGUGUCCUCAGCACACCCUGCAAAGUGCCUGGCAAAACAUAGGCAUGCCACAGAUACUUUAAAAAAAUGUUUUUCCUGCUUACAAAAGUAAGUCAUGUUGAUUUAAUAAUAUCGAGAAAACACAGAAAAGCAUACACAAAAAGUCACUCUUCGACUUAGACGUGAUUAAUAUUUGGUAUUUGUGUAUAUGUAAAUAUGCAUGAAAGAAAAGCUGAGAAAACAUACUGCAGAGUGUUUUCCACGCUACUAAUUCCUCUCCUAAGACAUGAUUUUUAAAAAUCGAUUUUAUCAAGGUCUAAAUUGCAUGCAAUAAAACUCAGACAUUUUAAGGCA
rnacentral:lncRNA from 1 species